rnacentral:tRNA from 1 species
AGGGAAAUGGCUCAGUGGUAGAGCACAUGCUUAGCAAUGCAGAAGGUCCUGGGUUCAAUCCCCAGUACCUCCA